rnacentral:rRNA from 1 species
UGGGGAAUAUUGGACAAUGGGCGCAAGCCUGAUCCAGCCAUGCCGCGUGAGUGAAGAAGGCCUUCGGGUUGUAAAGCUCUUUUAGUCGGAAAGAAAGAGUUGCAAUGAAUAAUUGUGAUUUAUGACGGUACCGACAGAAAAAGCACCGGCUAACUACGUGCCAGCAGCCGCGGUAAUACGUAGGGUGCGAGCGUUAAUCGGAAUUACUGGGCGUAAAGGGUGCGCAGGCGGUCUUGCAAGUCAGAUGUGAAAGCCCCGGGCUUAACCUGGGAAUUGCGUUUGAAACUACAAGGCUAGAGUGCAGCAGAGGGGAGUGGAAUUCCAUGUGUAGCAGUGAAAUGCGUAGAGAUGUGGAAGAACACCGAUGGCGAAGGCAGCUCCCUGGGUUGACACUGACGCUCAUGCACGAAAGCGUGGGGAGCAAACA